AGAGUUUGAUUAUGGCUCAGGAUGAACGCUAGCUACAGGCUUAACACAUGCAAGUCGAGGGGUAGCAGGGUAGCAAUACCGCUGACGACCGGCGCACGGGUGAGUAACACGUAUCCAACCUUCCCAUAACUCGGGGAUAGCCUUUCGAAAGAAAGAUUAAUACCCGAUAGUACUUAAGAAAGGCAUCUUUUUUAAGUUAAAGAUUUAUUGGUUAUGGAUGGGGAUGCGUUCCAUUAGAUAGUUGGUGAGGUAACGGCUCACCAAGUCUUCGAUGGAUAGGGGUUCUGAGAGGAAGGUCCCCCACAUUGGUACUGAGACACGGACCAAACUCCUACGGGAGGCAGCAGUGAGGAAUAUUGGUCAAUGGGCGAGAGCCUGAACCAGCCAAGUAGCGUGAAGGAAUGAAGGUCCUAUGGAUUGUAAACUUCUUUUAUAGUAGAAUAAAGUGAUCCACGUGUGGAUUUUUGUAUGUAUACUAUGAAUAAGGAUCGGCUAACUCCGUGCCAGCCGCGGC
rnacentral:rRNA from 1 species